CCCGCUGAACUUAAGCAUAUUAUUAAGCGGAGGAAAAGAAACUAACAAGGAUGCCCUCAGUAACGGCGAGUGAAGCGGGCAAAGCUCAACCUGAAAAUCGGGUAUCCAAGCGGGUGCUCGAAUUGUGGGCUAGAGACGCGUGAUCAGUGUGUGACCCAGAUAUAAAUCUUUUGAAACAAGGUAUCAUAGAGGGUGAGAAUCCCGUCUGUGAUCUGGAGCUUCGCCGCGUACGAUCCGUGUUCGUAGAGUCGAGUUGUUUGGGAUUGCAGCUCUAAAUGGGUGGUAAAUUUCAUCUAAAGCUAAAUAUCGACGAGAGACCGAUAGCGAACAAGUACCGUGAGGGAAAGAUGAAAAGAACUUUGAAAAGAGAGUUAAAAAGUACUUGAAAUUGCUAAGAGGGAAGCACUGGAAACCAGUCGCUGAUCGCCGUGUACCUUAUCUAUCGCUCCUCGAAGUGAUGGCGUCCCAGAGCCCAAAGCCUCGGGUAACUGUCGCGGAGAAUGCGGUGGUGCACUGUACUGGCGUAUCGUAUCAGAAUCAAUUCGAGCUCGUGAGAGAAAGCUAUGGCAACGGUAGGUCCAAGGGGGCAACUCUGAGGACUGUUUAGUGCUGUAGUGCUAUCAUGGAUUGGAUUGAGGGACAAUCGAAAUGCGCACCACUAGGUUAUCGCUUGCUGCGUCCUUGGAGGUAUCGAUGGCUUGGACAACAAAGUUGUGCGGUCGUUGGUGCUUCUUACUGGCGUGGAUCAAGUAGACGCUGCAUUCGAGAUUCUGAUGAAAUGGUUUUCAUUGACCCGUCUUGAAACACGG
rnacentral:rRNA from 1 species